GGAAAAGUACCCAAGUCUGGCUGAAGGGAGCGCAUUCAAAUGCGCUAGGGUGUGUAAGCGUUGGUUCAAAUCCCACCUUUUCCG
rnacentral:tRNA from 1 species